UACGUAGGGAACUAGCGUUGUUCGGAAUUACUGGGCGUAAAGCGUACGUAGGCGGCUUUGUAAGUCAGGUGUGAAAUCCCGGGGCUCAACCGCGGAACUGCCUUUGAUACUGCAAAUCUCGAGUCCGGAAGAGGUGAGUGGAAUUCCUAGUGUAGAGGUGAAAUUCGUAGAUAUUAGGAAGAACACCAGUGGCGAAGGCGGCUCACUGGUCCGGUACUGACGCUGAGGUGCGAAAGCGUGGGGAGCAAACAGG
rnacentral:rRNA from 1 species